rnacentral:lncRNA from 1 species
AAUUAAUCUUGGAAUUCAUAUUUUUUAAAACAAAAAUUAUAUAUUGGAAGAGUUGCAAAAUAUAUUUUAUUAGACGGCCGAGUUGCACCAAAUUGGCAACGCCAACGCCACUCAUCUUCCACCAAAGAACGUUUGGCCUUGGCCUUGGCCCUGCUCUCUGCUGUUCAUUUGCAAAUUUUCUCAUAGGACUUCGAAAGGUGUAAUGAGAAUUUGCAGUUCGUCGCGUCAAACUUUGAAGAAAAUUUAUUGAAAUUGUAGAUUUAAUUCAUAGAUCUAGAAAAGUGGGAAGGACAUUCCAUUACCAGCACGUGAUCGAUCCAGGUCGACGGUUCGCCAGAUCUCCGUGGAUUACAACAAGUGGUUUCUAUUAAUGUCUUACCUUGGUAUGUGGUUGAUGGCAAUUGAAGUAAACCUUAUCUACUUGCCUGUGUGGGAAGACUAGCAAUUGGUAAAUUGAGUUGAAAUUGUAGUUUUAUUCAAUAUUUAUCAAGUGAAUUGUUUUCUAAUGGAUCUUCCUAGUUACAAAUUUUCUCUAGUCCAUUACCUGGGUGAUUUUGUUUUGAUCUUUAUUUAAGUAGAACAAUAUCUUCAUCAAUUUAAGCUUGAACUCUUUAAUUUAUUCUGUUGGGUUGUGCCAAUUGAUGCUCCCUUUAGUGUAGCGUUUCACUUUAAACUAAUAACAUUUUAAAAAUUGUAUUAUUUCACUUUGCUUUGAAGCAGGUGGUUGGUGUUUGUUGGAGCAGUCUAUGAGAAAACCAAAAAUGUUGAGAACAUAGAAGACCAUGUCCUGCCAAAGAAAUCUGUCAUUCUGUCCUCCAACCCACUAAAUGUGCAUUUUCCACUUCGGAAUGAAAAGCAUGCAACCAAUUUCCAGCUCCAGACAGGUAUCAGUAUGCCUUGCAUACGCGGUAGCGCUUAUGUCCUCCGGCCGCCAGGUGGCGAGAGCGUCGCGUCAAAACUCAGACAUUUUCACAUUUUCCAGCCACCGACUGAAAAUGUCUUCCAAAUUCAUCAUGGUCAUAAAAACUAAUUGGCUAAUUGGCAAUGCGUAAUCCAUCCUCCUGUAAUUUCCUUUUGGCGAAAUAAUCUGAUCACGUGGGCCAAAACUGCUGUCCAUUUUGCCGAAUGCCGUCUAGGCGUCUAUUAUUACCUGUACCUGCUGUACGAGUUUGCUGUACGUCUCGUCCCAUGAAGAAGCACUUCAGACCAAUUUAAUUUAUGUUCAGGUCUCAGACUGCUGUGCUGAUAUAUUGCAGAAAUCGAGAACACAGCCAAGUCAUAGCUACAUUGAUGUCGUGGGACCACAUGCUACUAAAUUACUUCUUGCCUAAACAUCAUCCUAUGAACAGGUAACAGCAUAGUGGACAAGGUUUCGAUAGCCAUUUGACGUUGACGGUGUCAAUGGAGAUGCUGAAUUUCACAAUUCAACUCUGCCAAACAGUUUUUCAUAUGGCCUGAAUCUGAAGAUUAAUUUAAUUUGAUUUUGUUUCUAGAUUAUGCUCCCAUAGCUGCUGUCUAAUUUGAUACGUUGUUGCAGCCAUAUGCUGGUGGUAAAAGUCUUUUUGCAUAAAGUUUAACUGUGAUUGUACCUUGAUGACGGUUUCAUGUUGCGGAAGUUUAGAACAGUAUGUUAAAUUGUCAUUUUGCCAAAUAAUAAACAAAUCAUCGCGAUUGGGAAAGCAACGAGGAGGUGGGAGGGAGACUUAAAUAUUUAAAAGAAAUGUUGAGGUGUUUUGUCGAAGAAAUUGACUCGGUAAUUAUAAAUAUCUUCAACUUUA